rnacentral:tRNA from 2 species
AAUGGGUUUAUUAAGUCUUCUAAACUUAUGUUAGGUGUUCCUGCUCAUUG